rnacentral:rRNA from 1 species
AGAGUUUGAUCAUGGCUCAGAUUGAACGCUGGCGGCAUGCCUUACACAUGCAAGUCGAACGGCAGCGCGGGGCAACCUGGCGGCGAGUGGCGAACGGGUGAGUAAUAUAUCGGAACGUACCCUGGAGUGGGGGAUAACGUAGCGAAAGUUACGCUAAUACCGCAUACGAUCUAAGGAUGAAAGCAGGGGACCGCAAGGCCUUGUGCUCCUGGAGCGGCCGAUAUCUGAUUAGCUAGUUGGUGGGGUAAAGGCCUACCAAGGCAUCGAUCAGUAGCUGGUCUGAGAGGACGACCAGCCACACUGGAACUGAGACACGGUCCAGACUCCUACGGGAGGCAGCAGUGGGGAAUUUUGGACAAUGGGCGCAAGCCUGAUCCAGCAAUGCCGCGUGAGUGAAGAAGGCCUUCGGGUUGUAAAGCUCUUUUGUCAGGGAAGAAACGGUGGAGGCUAAUAUCCUCUGCUAAUGACGGUACCUGAAGAAUAAGCACCGGCUAACUACGUGCCAGCAGCCGCGGUAAUACGUAGGGUGCAAGCGUUAAUCGGAAUUACUGGGCGUAAAGCGUGCGCAGGCGGUUUUGUAAGUCUGUCGUGAAAUCCCCGGGCUCAACCUGGGAAUUGCGAUGGAGACUGCAAUGCUAGAAUCUGGCAGAGGGGGGUAGAAUUCCACGUAGCAGUGAAAUGCGUAGAGAUGUGGAGGAACACCGAUGGCGAAGGCAGCCCCCUGGGUCAAGAUUGACGCUCAUGCACGAAAGCGUGGGGAGCAAACAGGAUUAGAUACCCUAGUAGUCC